ACUGCCCUCAUGGUGAGAACCAGUAUGGGCCAUUCAUUUGACGGCGACUAUGGUUACUUGAUGUCGGCCCAUCCACGGUGAGUUACGGCGACGGUGACUCGAGUUGUGGCGAUGGCAUCUCGAUUCGCGGAGCCGCCUGGCGCCAGGAGGGGACGAAGCCGGCGGCAGGUGAGGCGGAGGCGGUGAGGUUGCUCGCUUCGCGACGGUGGCGGCUCGACUCACGGCUGUGGCGGCUCGAGGCUGUUCGAUUACCGGCGGCGGCGGAGACAGCUCGAUUCGCGACGGUAGGUGCUCAACUCGCGGCAGCGGCGACAGCUUGACCUGCGGCGGCGGCGGCUCGUCUCGCGGCGGUUUGAUUGGCAGGGACGGCGGGUCCAUUCACGGUGGCGUGGGGCUCAAUGCGCCGCUAAGGCGGAUCGGCGAGGAGCUCCAACGGGUUCGAUUCACGUUGGACAGGCGGUCCACGGCCGUGCCGCCGUCGGGCGUUGGCGUGCGGACAUCGCACAUGUUCUGCAAGACGCUCAUGGCCUCCGACACCAGCACGCACGACGGCUUCUCCGUGCCGUGCCGCGCCGUCGAGGACUGCUUCCCACCGCUGAACUACAGCCUGCAGAGGCCGUCUCAGGAGCUCGUUGCCGAAGAUUUGCACGGCACCGAGUGGAAGUUCCGACAUAUCUAUCGACGUACGGCAAGGGAGUUUCUUCAUUAGUAUAUGAGCUGCACUGGCCAGCCACGAAGACACCUCUUAACCACCGGAUAGAGUGCGUUUGUCAAUAAGAAGAAGCUGGUCUCUGGGGAUGCAGCUCUGUUCCUUCGAGGUGAAGAUGGAGUGCUUCGAUUGGGAGUGCGCCGAGCAGCUCAGCUAAAAAUGUAAUCCCUAUCCCUGCACUUCAUAACCAGUGCUCAAAUCAUAGGAAUCUGGGAAAUAUCGCACAAGCUGUGGCCAUGAAGUCUGUUUUUCAUAUACACUACAAUCCCUGGGAAGAAAUGUACUUUUCUGGUUGUUUUCUUAACUUUACAGAGGGCUGUAUUGACAAUGUUGGAUUGGCACACAACUUUAGUUGUGCUAGAACAAGUUAUGCAUGUCAUUUAUGGAAGCUUAAAUUGUAGCAAAAUGUGACCACUUAUUCUUGUUCCUUAACGGCAUGCUCAAAGCCAUUUACUAGCGAGCAGACUAUGAUAGCUUGCUUGUACAUGCUUCGAAAAUUCGCUGACCCGAGAAUCCAGUGCUGCCUGUUUUCAAGUAUCUAAUCCAAUCUUUUAGUAUCUCAAUAGUGGCUGCUGUAGUGCAGCAGUUGACUAUCCAAAAACCAACCCCCUCCUGGCCAUGACAAAUGGUAAAAAUGAUCCCUUUUGUUUCACCUCCUUGGCCCUGCCACGUUAUCUUGUGUCUCCAUACAUGCAAGUUUAACUAUGGCACGUGAUCAUCAGAAAUGAUGACACAGUGCACAUUUGAGGUUGCCAUUUAGAUUUCAAGGUGUUUUUUGGAUUAUAUGUUUCAAUGUUGAUAAGUAAUGAUGUUAUUAAUAUCAAAUAAUAUGGAUUCCUUUUGUUCUACUUCUUAGUUCUUUUGUGUGUGAAGAUUUAAAUGUGUUGAUAGUUAGAAGUGUGAACAUAAUUUUAGAUAUACUUUUUCCUACUCAUCUCUCUUCUUGUUGGAGCAUGUCGCGAUCCCAGUUCCUGCCUUUAAUAAAUGACUUGAACUCACAGGUUAAGUCAAAUGAAUUCAUUAUACCCUAUUGGAAGUUCAUGAGAAGCUUCAACCAAACAUUUUCAGUUGGAAUGGGAUGCAGAAUGAGAUAUGAAAGUGAAGAUGCUUAUAAAAGAAGGUGCACUGGGAUAAUAAUUGGAAGCAGAGAGGCAGACCCCAUGUGGCAUGGUUCAAAAUGGGAAUGUUUUGUGUGGAUGAGAUGUACCUAGCAUCCCUAAUUAACAAAGGUAGUGAGGCAUACAUAAGUGGUACAACAAACCCUAUUGCUCUUCCUGCAGAGACUGUACUGAAGAUGGCUACUCUUAAUGGUGCAAAAGAACUUCUGUGGGAUAUUAAUGAAAUAGGAUCUCUGGAGGUUGGAAAAAGGUGACGCUCCUAGUUACUAUUAUGUUCGUGUAUGGUGCUCAAUAACUUUGCUCCAUAUAUUUUGGAGGUAUAUACUGUAGAAGUUAAGCCGUGGAGCUUUGGUUUGACUAAUGCAGACGAAUCCCAGGUUGACUACUUUCAAGAAGCAGCUCUUGAGAAGAGGAUACUCUAGGUUUUGCGUAACCUUGUGCGUGAUCUCUGUUUAGUCGAACUUUCAGGAAAUAUUUUGUAGUGCAGAAUCAACAAAGAGGGGCCAUCUUGUUGCCGUGUAUAUGUUCAUAUUGUAGCAAUUUAUAUUCAUUUUUUUAGUUCGAAAGCCAAAAGGUGAUAUAUCAAAA